rnacentral:rRNA from 1 species
AGGUAUCAGAAGUGCGAAUGCUGACAUAAGUAACGAUAAAGCGGGUGAAAAGCCCGCUCGCCGGAAGACCAAGGGUUCCUGUCCAACGUUAAUCGGGGCAGGGUGAGUCGACCCCUAAGGCGAGGCCGAAAGGCGUAGUCGAUGGGAAACAGGUUAAUAUUCCUGUACUUGGUGUUACUGCGAAGGGGGGACGGAGAAGGCUAUGUUGGCCGGGCGACGGUUGUCCCGGUUUAAGCGUGUAGGCUGGUUUUCCAG